CAGAAUGGAGCUGUUUGUUGCCAGUCUUUGCAACUAUGCCAAAGAGAAGCCAGUCUUGGUGCUAAGACUAAAGAGAUAAGAUUAGGGAGCCACAGAAGCUGCUGAAGAAAAUUAAUGAAGCAGAGGCUACCGAAGCAAGUCUGCUAAUGACAGCUAAAGAUAAGAUUAUAAGCCUGUCCUUGGGACUGAAGCAAAGACACUGCCUGAUGACGCAGAAACUAAAACAACCUCUGCCAUUUUAUAGAACUACAUUAAAUAGCAGAAGCUCACUUUUCUAGGAGUGAAAAGUUUGUAUUGAAGUUUAGAAGUUUUGGAUUUAUUGUGAUUUUCCUUGUCUAUGGAAACUAUCAGAGGAGCAGCCGGCCUAAUUUAAAAACCACCAAGAAAUAAGCAUCAGAGGAAACAGAAAACAGAGACAGUACUUUGGGGCCCAUCAGCUCCUCAGGUUGAAAUCCAUUUAUGAUCUAACUCAUAUAAUCUUGCAAAUGCAAGCAAUACAUGAAGAGAAUGACACAGAAGUGAAACUUUGCGUGCAACAAAAAUCCAUUUUCAUCGGGAAAAAAUGGCAUGGAUCAUAGAAGAGUGCUUCUAGGAACAGCACACAGAGCAACAAGCCAAGGUUUUUGAGGAGUAGAACUGCCUUUCUUGACGUCACUCCCACCAAAGGUGGUAAUACGUACCUCUUGCACCACAUUCAUGCCAACAUGUUUGUAGUAGAGAAAAGAAUCAUGAGGAGUUCAAUUCUGCACCCCUGAUGGAAACAUCUCAACUAAUUUCAAGGAAUAUGCAUCCUCAAACCAUGAUAUUGCAGAGCCAGAUAGACAAGAGAGAAUAGCAUCUAUGGAUGUCACUUGAAUUGCAUCAGCUAUUAGAAAAUGGCUCUGCGUCUGCUGGAUAGACACCUGUACCCACCUGUUGGAGAAAAUAUUGGUUCAGGCUUCUCCAAAGUGUCUAGGCCUCAUUACUAUUAUUGGAACUGCUGAAACUGCAAUUGCAAGGCUAUGAAGGUAAUGGAAGCUAAACCGCAAAUGCUUGCCAGUGGAGAAAUGAGGAAAUGGGCAGGGGAGGAUGAAAUAGUUAUUUCAUGGGAAAGGAAGAAACAAGUUAUCUGGACAUGCAUAUUUUGGAAGAUAUACAUUUACUGAUGCCAAGUUAUUGUGUUGAUGAAUGUGUAAUCAUGUGAUAAUUGUGUAAUCAAUGUAACCUUGAAAAGGGUAUAUAAACUCACUGUGUGGAACAUUUCGGGGGGCUUACACUGAGGCUCUAUCUCUGUGUGACUCCUCAAGCAAUUGGAUGUAUUUAAA